AUCGCUUCUCAGCCUUUUGGCUAAGAUCAAGAGUAGGUAUCUGCUCUUAUAAAUUAACAUCUGAUAUGUCCUCUAUCGAAGAAAUGCAUAUUAAAUGAAUUUUUGGAGCAAAGAGAUGAAUAGGAGCUUGCUCUCCCCACGCUGAGCAUUGGCCUGAUAUUCCAGUACCUCUGGGGAGCAGUGCACCCCCU